GUGCUCGCUUCGGCAGCACAUAUACUAAAAUUGGAACGAUACAGAGAAGAUUAGCAUGGCCCCUGCGUAAGGAUGACAAAAUAAAGACCUUCCAUGGACACCUUAGU
rnacentral:snRNA from 1 species